GACGAACGCUGGCGGCGUGCUUAACACAUGCAAGUCGAACGAAGAGCGAUGGAAGCUUGCUUCUAUCCAUCUUAGUGGCGAACGGGUGAGUCACGCGUAAUCAACCUGCCCUUCAGAGGGGGACAACAGUGGGAAACGACUGCUAAUACCGCAUACGAUUUAAUCUCGGCGUCGAGUAUAGAUGAACGGUGGUCUCUACAUGUAUGCUAUCACUGAAGGAGGGGAUUGCGGCUGUUUAGCUAGUUGGAGGGGUAAGGGCCCACGAAGGCGAUGGUCAGUAGCCGGGCUGAGGGGAUGAACGGCCACAUUGGGACUGAGACCCGGCCCAGACGCCUACGGGAGGCAGCAGGGGGGAAUCUUCCGGAAUGGACGAAAGUCUGACGGAGCAACGCCGCGUGAGUGAUGACGGCCUUCGGGUUGUAAAGCUCGGUUAAUCGGGACGAAAGGCCUUCUUGCGAAUAGUGAGAAGGAUUGACGGUACCGGAAUAGAAAGCCACGGCUAACUACGUG
rnacentral:rRNA from 1 species